ACAGGCACCAUGGCAACAGCAAUAUUCCAGUCCCAGAAUGCUGCAGUUUUCACAAGUUGAAGGCAGGAGAAAGAAUUCUGCUUUUCACUUCAACUAUGCCAAUUACCCUAAUGAGGUCCACCUGGCAUCAAGCCAAGUCGUAAACUAUUAAACAAGAAUAUCUGAUAUUUUCUCUUCUUGCGGCAACACCAGCAGGACUAGCCGUCGGGCUUCCAUCUGGGCGGAGGACCCUCUGCUGGCACUGUGUGCUGGCACUGUUUGAAACAAGCAGACCUACAAGUCAUACAUCUCAAAUGAACUUCAGUCGGUGUUCACAUCAUUCGUGUUGCUGUCCUGCUGCAGAUACAGAUCACCUGAUCGCCAUUGUUGUUGGUGCUCUGCUGAAUUUUGAUCAUUGCAUUACCAUUUUCCGUCACAGUGUUCCAUGCCAUGGCUAUCAGAUACUGUAUCCACUACAGGUAUAAACGCUAAUCGUUGAAAAUGAAAGAAGCACAUACAGUACAUUUGAUUAAAUCUGUGUGUGGUCAACUGCAUGCAGACUUAGUGUGUGGACCAUAUUAGCCAGCAGCUAUGCUCUAAUUUAAGAGCUCUGAUACAGGGUGAAAUGCAGAGCUAGAAGUCUAGGGAGAGUGGAGGGUUACUAUAGCAAUGAUGUCUUAGAAACAGCCAUACCAGUUUGGACAGUCUGUUACAAAUGUUUAUCUGAUGUCUCUUUGGUUCGUUUUGUAAAGGGCAGGACAUACAUGAAGUACAUAUACCUAAACAUGUUAUGACUCCUCUUCUACUUUCAGUGCUGAAUAAUGAUAUACAGUACUGAAUUUAAGAGCUGGGACUGAGUUUUGAAAUGGUGUGCACUGAAUCAACCAGAAAUCUGCCAAAACUCCUUCUGGAACUCAAUUUUUCACCAAUCAAGAAAUAUAUCACUGCUUAAAAGACUUUGGGGAAUUCUCCCCUUUGGACAAGAACAUCUUAAAGUCUCUCGCCCCCAGGGGUUGUGUGUCUGCAGGGAAGGCUUCAGACAAGAGGGGGAUCAAAUAACUUCUUACUUUUUUGGUGUAACAAAUGUUAAUGUUAGAAAAACUCAUCUAUGUAUGUAACAAUCAAUCUAGAUGUGCAUUACAUGUAUAAAGAGUAUGUUCAUUAUAUCAUGUGCAAGGUAUUUUUUGAAAGGAGGUGUAUAAAUGAAUGUUUUUGGGUUUCGUUUAGUCCACAGAGAGAAUACUGUGUUUAUGUUUAGGGGGUAUAAUAGUUUUUUUCCCUAAAAGUCUUUUUAGGGAAAAAAAUAGGUCAACAUUCCCAUUUGAUCAUCACAGUUGAAAUCACAUGUUGACUAUGUUUACAGAGCUGAUUAAGGACACAGUGACAACUCCCCAGCCCUAAGCCCGUCCACACAGAACCUGGAUUGCCUGACGCUGUGUCAGUCUUCUGUCCACCUUAUCUGCAGACACUAAGAGCUGAUAUGCCAAAGGUCUGUAAAAACAUGUAGGAAUCACACGUCAUGUAAUCGCUUGCCAGCUUCAAGGUAUACGUAUUGGGUGAUUCAGUGACUUACACUUGCAUAUAUUUAUAACUUUACAACUCAAAUUUGUCUUGAUUUAUAGUUGUAGUUCCAGUACAGCCAUAUGAAAGAAUCACACUUGUCAUGCAAUACUUGCCUGAUAAAUCUGUGGUAAAAAGCUUGCCCAUUUCAUUUCUAAAAAGGUAUAAUUCCCUUCAACAUGCAUGGUAGGUCAUAUAUCAAACACAUAUCAAAGAGAGAAAAAAUUGUUUAUACUUUAUAAAGAGACCUUCGUUAUUAUAUAGUCAGUCUUAUUUAAGGACAAAAACUACAUUUUUAAACAAAAUAUAUUUUUAUUAAUUUAAUAAACAUAUUGAGUAAUGAUCAUACAGCUUCCUAAUAUGCUCAGACAUUUUCACAGUGAUGUCAUGGAGUUCCUCUGGCUCAUCUGUCUCUCAUGUCUGUGUGGAUCGACUGGUAGAGCAGGGUGCUCACAACACAAAGGUUCAAAGUGUCCCAGGAGGCACACCUAUGAUGAAACAUGUGUGUCUGUAACUGUAACUCCCCGUAAGGCAGCCACUCCUCCGCUCUCAGUAGGAACAUCUACUAUAUGAAUAAAUGGAACUGAUCAUGACAAAAAGUCAGAUUUAAUUACAUAUAGUUAGCAUUCAUGAAUGGCAUGAUAAUUGUGUAAAAUAUAAUAAAUAUGUAAAAAUAAAAUAUCUAAGGCACAGGAUAAAGACAUUCUACAUUCAUUUGUUCUAUGUUACUGUUUAUGAAAGGGGCCAAUAUCACAUCUUAACAUGCAGUUAUCGUAUGUCAUAUAACAGUGCACAUUUGUGUAACAUAUAUUUAAACUAUAGAAAUUCACUGAUAAAAAUCAUAUGAAUUUGACAGACUUUUUUCAUAUGUGGUAUUGGACAGAGAGUGAAGCUAUAACAGAAGUUAGAAAUAGCAGGGGACGAAUGCAGAUGAAGGGUGAUGAGAGAUGACACUCCCCUUUCCCUCUGUGACAAAACAAAAUGAAGUUCCUGAGUUCAACAACAGAUGACAGGCAGGUAAGAUUUGGGUGUUGAUUCAUUUCUGACAGCUUCCACAAGAGGCAAAGAAGCACACAGUCACAAUUUUCAAUUAAUUUUGAAAUCUAAUCACCCCUCCCUCCCAGGGAAGCACUUCCCCUGUCUGUCACGGACACUCUGUGAAAGGUGAGUGUGUGUGUGAUACACGGCUGGUGAUACGCAAGUGUCAUUGAAGAACAGAACAGAAUUAAUCAGUAAUUCAAGAGUGCAACAUGUUUUACCUAAAAAGGUAAGAUAGUCCGUCGCGUGACCUGCCCCGCCGGGAUGAAGUCUAUUAUAUAUUAUAUAUUACAUAUCCUUCGUAAGUGAAGUCCAUUCGUAUAUCAUUCUGCACAAAAAUCUCUGUGACUUUCUUGUAAAAGUCCUCCUUAUCUUCUUUUAGUCUUAAAAGUCUCUCCAUCUCAAUGGAGAUUAAUGCCAGGGAUGAAAGCUGUUCUUGGUCAGUCCGAUUCCGACUGUAUGUUUUGAGUCUUUUCAAAGCAGAGAAUGACCUUUCCCCGGACACUGCUGUAGCCGGUAUAGUGAGCACCAGCUGGAGUAACUUUGUCGCCUCAGGAACAGUCUGCAUCAGAUCAUUCUGGGCCAAAAAGCUGAGAAGCUGUCCAGGGGAUUUACAUUCAUCCCUCACUGUUUGUGAGCUAUACAGUCCGAUGAGAUCAGCCUUUAGUCUAUCAAAGUCAAAGAACCUGGCGUAGUUUGACAGGCUCUGCAGUUUGGCGUCAUCAAAAUGUUGUGACAUUUCAUCAAAUUUUGU
ensembl:lncRNA